rnacentral:rRNA from 1 species
CCCUUAGAUGUUCUGGGCUGCACGCGCGCUACACUGAAGCGUUCAACGAGUAUUCACCUUGCCCGGGAGGGUUGGGUAAUCUUUUGAAAACGCUUCGUGAUGGGGAUUGACGGUUGCAAUUUUCUGUCAUGAACGAGGAAUACCUUGUAAGCGCGGGUCAUCAUCCCGCGCUGAAUACGUCCCUGCCCUUUGUACACACCGCCCGUCGCUCCUACCGAUUGAGUGGUCCGGUGAGGCUUUGGGAUCUGAGCGGAAAGAGCGUUUCGCUGUUUCUGCUCGGAAAACUCAGUCGAACCUUAUCAUUUAGAGGAAGGAGAAGUCGUAACA